UACGUAGGGGGCAAUCGUUGUCCGGAAUUAUUGGUCGUAAAGCGCGCGCAGGCCGUUCCUUAAGAAGGAUGUGAAACCCCACGGCUUAACCGUGGAGGGUCAUUGGAAACUGGGGAACUUGAGUACAGAAGAGGAGAGUGGAAUUCCACGUGUAGCGGUGAAAUGCGUAGAUAUGUGGAGGAACACCAGUGGCGAAGGCGACUCUCUGGUCUGUAACUGACGCUGCGGCGCGAAAGCGUGGGGAGCGAACAGG
rnacentral:misc_RNA from 1 species